AGCGAACGCUGGCGGCAGGCUUAACACAUGCAAGUCGAGCGGGCGUAGCAAUACGUCAGCGGCAGACGGGUGAGUAACGCGUGGGAACGUACCUUUUGGUUCGGAACAACCCAGGGAAACUCGGGCUAAUACCGGAUAAGCCCUUACGGGGAAAGAUUUAUCGCCGAAAGAUCGGCCCGCGUCUGAUUAGCUAGUUGGUGUGGUAACGGCGCACCAAGGCGACGAUCAGUAGCUGGUCUGAGAGGAUGAUCAGCCACAUUGGGACUGAGACACGGCCCAAACUCCUACGGGAGGCAGCAGUGGGGAAUAUUGGACAAUGGGCGCAAGCCUGAUCCAGCCAUGCCGCGUGAGUGAUGAAGG
rnacentral:rRNA from 1 species